GACAGAGGGUGCAAACGUUGUUCGGAAUUACUGGGCGUAAAGCGCGUGUAGGCGGCUAAGUAAGUCGGGCGUGAAAUCCCACGGCUCAACCGUGGAAGUGCACUCGAAACUGACAUAGCUAGAGUCCUGGAGAGGAAGGUGGAAUGCUUGGUGUAGAGGUGAAAUUCGUAGAUAUCAAGCGGAACACCGGUGGCGAAGGGCGGCCU
rnacentral:rRNA from 1 species